rnacentral:sRNA from 1 species
GCUGCGCCUAGGACGGCCAUCCGAAAACUCGUGACCCUGACGAGCUGGCGCGGCGCACAUCACAAGGG